ACCCUUGGCAGCAGCUUCGCCCCCACCGCCCCCCAAAGCACUUGGGAGCACGGUCGAUCCGGAAGCUGAGACUACGGCGUGGAUCGGAGCGGCUCACGCAGGGGGCUUGGCACCCUGACGCAGCCCCGGGCAUCGCCCCUGCGCCAGCACCAUCACCCCGCUUUGUGGCCUCCUCCUUCCCCUGCUCCAGCGGCUCGGAGCUCCCCUCUCCGAAGGAGGCAGGAAGCUUUGCCCUCGAAGGCCUGGGGUGAGGCUCCGGUGACCAGGGCGUGAUGCCCAGCUCUGCCACAGACUCCUUGCCUCCCCUUAGCCAAGUCCCCUGACCCGUCUGCACUGUCGUGUGCGGACAGGCCUCCUCCCUCUCCUCCCACCCUGUGUCUUUUCCCCUCAAACCGGCAGAUGGGCAGGGCAGGGUCUGGCGACACGGCCGCGCGGCCUCCAGACGCUACGACGGCAGGACCCGAGACCCGGCCCGAGGAGAGCGCUCGUCCGCGAAGCGCGUCGCACGAGACGACGGCAGGGCGCUGGCAGGGCGCGGUGGAGGCUAGAAGAGUUGAAAAGGCAGCACGGGCUGAGGUCCUGCGAGGAGCUGGGACUUCCCCAGAUGCCCACGGCCCAGGCCCAGAAAGGCGCGACACGACGUCCGUCACAACCCAGACCGCAGAGUUAUACCCGGUGAUUCCCGCGGCAAGGAUUCAUCGUCCAAGCGGUGAAAAGCAAGUGCUGGCAGGUCCCAGCAGUCAGGAGCUGGACCCCGCGGUACCAUCAGGUGGGCCUAAAAGCCCCGGACGUGUGUAUUUCCAAACGCACCUUUUGCACCGGUUCAUCCCAGCCAAGGUCGUGGGGCAGCCGGCGGACGGGGGACGCGGGAGGGGGCGGGGGACGCGGUCGGGAAACAGAUGGCGCAGCUCAGCAACAACAACAAAGUCAGAGUCGCCAUGCGGGCAAGGGGACUAAUAACGAACGUGGAGACCCGAUCUCCUGGCAAACAGCUGCGAGUUGAACCAAAAUCAGGCCUGUGAGCGACUGUAUCCCCCCCGCGCCUCUGCGCUGAUUGUUUAUUUAUUUAGAUUUAUGCAAACGCUAAAAAAAGGUCCCGCGCAGCCCUUGACAGCCGCGAAGGACGCGGCCCCAGGCUGCUGCCACCCCGCGCGCCGAGCCGCGUGGCUUCGGGCCCCAGGUCCAGUCCCCUCCCUGGCUGUUCUCCGCUGUCGCCCCGCUUGCGUUUGCAAACGCCGGAGAAGGACGCGGCGCUUCGCCGGGCGCCCGGGAGAUCGGCCAGAGGUCAGGGCAGGGGCAGGGAGCCCUGGGCCCCCCCACAGCUUGGCCGCGGGCCCCAGGUUACAGCCGGCAUCGAUGGCACCGUCCCCAGGCAACGCCACGGGCCCGUUCUCCCCUCCUGCGCGUUGCGUUUGGCCCCAGCGCUGCAGGGGGAAGCCGAGACUUCAUCUCACCGGGGCUCAGGCCCCAGCGAUGGGAGCACCAGCCCAUACCGAUGACACCCAGUAAAAAACCACCGCUGUUAUUGGAGACGCUGCCCUCC
rnacentral:lncRNA from 1 species